ACGGCACGAGGUUGGCUCUUGUAGUAAUAGAUCUUUAGGUGGAAACGCUAUUAGGCAUCCCUCUACAAAUAACUCACACCAGCCACCGCACAAGGUAAAUGUGCAAAUGCCCACUGCCAAGGGUUCCUGAUUAUAUGCAGAAAUCGCAACUCGCACCAGCCACCGCAUGGGUUCCUGACGUCCAACCAAACCAUCUUCAAGCACCAACUACACGGAUUCUCUCUUCUUUCUUCAGGUUAUUGAAGGUUGGAUCAAGCCUUCACCGUUUGAUGGCAUUGCCAAUGGAGACAUGCUAGAUGGGACAGAGGUUCAAUUUAAGUCAGUGACAUUGCAGAAGUAUGUAUCUACUGACAAUGGAGGAGGAAUGAAUGUGACAGUUGACAGGGAUGUCCCAUCUUCAUGGGAAACCUUCAAGGUAAGAUGGAAAUAGUGUUCUUCUUGUUUUAAUUUUCCAUCUGGUAUAAUAUGUUGGAACGCAAUUAUGGUGAAAUGGUUAAUACUCAUCCUCUUGCUAAUCCAUUUGAAGGCUUUUGAUUUAGUAAUACACCGUCUUUUUUUAAUAUGUGAACUUGAGUAUCUUUCAAAUUGGAAGUAUUUUGUGGCAGACUGACUUGUGCCAGCUAAGGUGAGCUUCUAUUGAAACUGACAUGGUUUUCUUUGAAGAAACACAAAAAAUAGUAACAAAUUUGGAAUCAUCCUAGCUAAUGUUCACUGCCAUAGUGAAUAACCAAAGUACCAAACAACACUCUACUAAACAUUCUCAGUUGCAGAUAUGCAAGACAUCCUGCAUUGCUAGGAAUUGAGCUAUUGAAUGAACCAGCUGCUGGCGUAGUUUUAUUAGAUGUUUUAAUAUCAUAUUACAAGCAGGGCUACCAAAUUGUUCGAAAAUACUCGUCAUCAGCUUAUGUGAUAAUCUGCCAGAGAAUUGGUGCUGCAGAUCCUUUGGAACUUUAUCAAGCCAACAUAGGAUCUCACAACUUAGUUUUGGAUUUGCAUUUCUACAAUCUCUUUGACACAUUUUUUGUUAAUUGCAGUUUAUAUUGGAUUCCUAUCUUUUUUUUCAAGGUAUUAAGAAAAGUUAGCACAGUUUAGAAGCAAUUCAUAAAUAGUUCAGUUCGAAAAUAGUGCAGUUCAGAAACAGAUUAAGGUGCAUAACAGUUCAGUUUAGUUCAUAGUAUAGUUCAGUAUAGUUUAGUAUAGUACAGUUUAAUAGAAUAAAAAAUAGUUCAGUUCAGUUUGUGUAAUCUAAUUUUCAGUUCAGUUCAGUUUAAUUGAACUA